UACGUAGGGGGCAAGCGUUGUCCGGAAUUAUUGGGCGUAAAGCGCACGUAGGCGGCUUUGCAAGUCGGAUGUGAAAUCCCUCGGCUUAACCAAGGAAGUGCAUCCGAAACUGCAGAGCUUGAGUACUUAAGAGGAUCGCGGAAUUCCCGGUGUAGAGGUGAAAUUCGUAGAUAUCGGGAGGAACACCAGUGGCGAAGGCGGCGAUCUGGGAAGAUACUGACGCUGAGGUGCGAAAGCGUGGGGAGCAAACAGG
rnacentral:rRNA from 1 species